rnacentral:rRNA from 1 species
AGUCGAGCGAACGGACGAGAAGCUUGCUUCUCUGAUGUUAGCGGCGGACGGGUGAGUAACACGUGGAUAACCUACCUAUAAGACUGGGAUAACUUCGGGAAACCGGAGCUAAUACCGGAUAAUAUUUUGAACCGCAUGGUUCAAAAGUGAAAGACGGUCUUGCUGUCACUUAUAGAUGGAUCCGCGCUGCAUUAGCUAGUUGGUAAGGUAACGGCUUACCAAGGCAACGAUGCAUAGCCGACCUGAGAGGGUGAUCGGCCACACUGGAACUGAGACACGGUCCAGACUCCUACGGGAGGCAGCAGUAGGGAAUCUUCCGCAAUGGGCGAAAGCCUGACGGAGCAACGCCGCGUGAGUGAUGAAGGUCUUCGGAUCGUAAAACUCUGUUAUUAGGGAAGAACAUAUGUGUAAGUAACUGUGCACAUCUUGACGGUACCUAAUCAGAAAGCCACGGCUAACUACGUGCCAGCAGCCGCGGUAAUACGUAGGUGGCAAGCGUUAUCCGGAAUUAUUGGGCGUAAAGCGCGCGUAGGCGGUUUUUUAAGUCUGAUGUGAAAGCCCACGGCUCAACCAUGGAGGGUCAUUGGAAACUGGAAAACUUGAGUGCAGAAGAGGAAAGUGGAAUUCCAUGUGUAGCGGUGAAAUGCGCAGAGAUAUGGAGGAACACCAGUGGCGAA